rnacentral:rRNA from 1 species
UACGGAGGAUGCGAGCGUUAUCCGGGUUUAUUGGGUUUAAAGGGUGCGUAGGCGGUCCGUUAAGUCAGCGGUAAAAUUGCGGGGCUCAACCCCGUCGAGCCGUUGAAACUGGCAGACUUGAGUUGGCGAGAAGUACGCGGAAUGCGCGGUGUAGCGGUGAAGUGCAUAGAUAUCACGCAGAACUCCGAUUGCGAAGGCAGCAUACCGGCGCCCAACUGACGCUGAAGCACGAAAGCGUGGGUAUCGAACAGG